AUUGAACGCUGGCGGCAUGCCUUACACAUGCAAGUCGAACGGCAGCAUGAUCUAGCUUGCUAGAUUGAUGGCGAGUGGCGAACGGGUGAGUAAUACAUCGGAACGUGCCCUGUAGUUGGGGAUAACUAGUCGAAAGAUUAGCUAAUACCGCAUACGACCUGAGGGUGAGAGUGGGGGACCGCAAGGCCUCAUGCUAUAGGAGCGGCCGAUGUCUGAUUAGCUAGUUGGUGAGGUAAAGGCUCACCAAGGCGACGAUCAGUAGCUGGUCUGAGAGGACGAUCAGCCACACUGGGACUGAGACACGGCCCAGACUCCUACGGGAGGCAGCAGUGGGGAAUUUUGGACAAUGGGCGAAAGCCUGAUCCAGCAAUGCCGCGUGUGUGAAGAAGGCCUUCGGGUUGUAAAGCACUUUUGUCCGGAAAGAAAUGGCUCUGGUUAAUACCUGGGGUCGAUGACGGUACCGGAAGAAUAAGGACCGGCUAACUACGUG
rnacentral:rRNA from 1 species